rnacentral:lncRNA from 1 species
CAGAGAGUUGUUGAACUCCUGAAUUCAGAGUUGUCUCCUUGCUCAAGUUGAAACCCAAGGAAUUCUGGAAACCGGGUUUGUACUUGCCUUUAUGUUUAAAAUCCGCCAUUGAUUCUGCAUAACAUGUUCUAUUUGAUUCUGCAGAACAUACUUCAAUGGAGACCGUUUGUGCAUCUAAAGAGAACCAUGUUAGUACAAAAUUCACUCAGAUCCAUUACUCAAUGUAUAAAAAUUGUAGCUUUCAGAAUUUCUCAUAUAGUACUCCCCUCAAUUUGGCACACAUGUACAACUUAAUCCAUAAAUGAGAAAGUCUUAUGUCAAUUUUGUUCAAUCCAUAAGAAGCAUGUACUCCGUGAGUUAGUGUUUGAAACUUUUAUUGAUAUAUUUUUUGGGUUGGUUGUCAUUUUGAUUUUGGAUUUUUAAAUUGGCAUUGUCCUAUAGAAAUUAAUUUUUUAAUCAAAAUAAACUCUACCCUUUUGGUUGUCCUUUAGUGCUGAUCUGCCCUCUGUACAGGCUGUGCAGUUUUCUGUGCCUCCUUCUGGCCUUGCUCCUUUGUUGCUGGCGGAGAGCCUUGGUUUUCCUCAUUUGAGGCCUUAGUUUUUUCUUUUUUUCACUUUGAAGGUGAAAGUUUUAAAAUUAAAUAUGAUAUCGAUGAAAAAAUAACAUUUUCAAUAUCUUUUUC